GCCACCGGGUCGACCGCCGAUCUCCGGCACCGGCACCACCGUCUGCGGUGGCCGAAAUGGGGAAAAUCCCCUAUUUGACUCCUCGAAGCCCCCCAAACCCAGAUCUGGACUUGGAUUUUUCAGAAUAUCGGCGAAAACCGCAAAGACGCCAAGGAAAACCUUCGGCUUCUGGCCACUGAUCCUCGGUGUGGCUCCCUCAAACGCUUCAGCGCCACCUUGGAGUUCAAAGCUAGGUGACUUCUUUCCUUUUUUUUAUAUUAUUCGUAUAUAAAUAAAAACAUAGCAGUAAAAAAAUAAUAAAAAAAUGCAGGUAUCAACCUUGGGCUUCGAUCGAUUCCUUUUUGCUGUGAAAAUAUUUGCUUGUUAUUGAUUUCCAAAAAAAAAAAAUUCCAGUUACAGUAUAUCAAUGGUUAUCUUAUAGCCAUAAUGAGAAAAAUAAAAAGAAAUAAAAUUUGUUCAUAUUUGAUUUGAUUUUCCAAAUAUUUGAUUUUGUUUCCUUUCUUGCGUUUGCUCCUUGCAGGUGAAGACUCGUCUCUUGGCUGCGGCGCGAGCGGGCUAGGUAGCUACGUCGCUGAUGAACUCCAUAGAAACCCUAGGGUUUCUUCAUUUGUUUUGGGCCACUUGUAUUUGGGCCACCGUAUUUUAGUUCAUUUCAGUUUGGGCCAUAUAGGCCCACUUGUAAUUUGGACUGCUUUAUUUUCUUCAUGUAGGCCGGGUAAAAUUGAGGUUUUACAUCUUGGAUUUUAUUGAAUUUCUCUAAUGCUUAAUUAUUAUA